AGUAGAGCACUGAGUCAUUAUGUUCUCACCAGAUGUUAACUGGAAGGUUUCAGCCACCCAAAAGCCUUAGGCAAAGUCUCUUGGCCACAAUUUCCCCAUCCAUGGGCCGCCAUGCUGACCAGCCAUUCCCUUGGCACCUUAUAAGGGCACACUAAUUAGAAAACUCAUCUUGCAAGAAUGCUGCAGAGAGACCUUUCACAUGGAGUAGAACCAUAGUGCCCAGAGGCACCGUGACUCAGUGGUAGUAGAGCUGAUUUCUAACACCCAGUCUGAUGACUCUCCAGCCCCAAAAGGGAUGAACUACAUGGCAGAGUCCAGGCACAUUCCCACCGGGCCAGCCAGAGGAUGGUGCAUGGGAGUGGCAGGUCCUCAAAGUACUUGAAAAAGUACUAGUUACACCUAUAGUGUCAGGAAGAGACAGGAAGUGGCCAACCGACUCAUUUACUCAUUUGUUUAUUUUAUCAGUGUGUAUUGUCUGCCCCUAAUGUAGCAAGGGCUGUGUUAUUUGCUAUGGGGAAAACAGAUGAAUCAGAUAGCCCUGGCCUAGGUCUAGUUGGAGUGAAAGAUAGAUCAUAAAAUAUUAAAUGCCUUAUAAUUUCUAUAAAUGAAAUGUAUACAAAAGAAAAAAGAAAAACAUGGAGUUAAAAGUCCAGAGUAGCUUUGGCUGAGAGGGAAAGUAAAAACUUCACACGGGAGUUAAAUCUGAGCUGGGUCUUGAAAAAUGACUAGGAGUUUGCCACACACGGAGAAGCGUGCCAGUUAGAAGAACAAAUGGACUUAAAGCUUGCUUUAGUUGAAGAAGCUUUCACCAGGAUUAACUUUGCUGCAAAAAAGCUUUCUGGGUCUCCUUUCAAGGCAGACGUUGGCUGCACUGAAGCAGCAUGAAUACUUAAAGGCCUUUGAAGAAUGCAGUAGUAUCUGGUGUUUCUAUGGACAUCACAUGAUUCCUGUAUCAGCCAGCCUCAGCACACAAGACUGGACUGUAACGCCAGCAGGUCCGGGGAAGAGCCCAGGGAGCCAGAC